GUGUUGGGUUGGCUUCGGGCGAGCCGCAGCGCACGCCUCCUUGUAUCGAUUGUGCGCGUCUCAGUGCGCACGUUGCUACAUACAGAGCUCGCCAGGGCGUCCACUCUCCCGCUGUAGUCAUGCGCGAAUCUCCUCCGCCAUCGCAUCGACCGAAAUAAGAGUUGGAUUAAACGCGCGAUUGUCGCGGUCGAGCUCGGCGGUCUCGGCAGAUUUACGUACACGCCCCGCCGCCGCCGCCGCCGGGUCUGGCUCGACAUUCCUCCAUGUGUGACCGGAUUACCUUCCAAAAAUCGAUUGGGGAAGGUGCUGCGGGCCGCGCUGUGGCUAUGGGCUGGAGCUAAUCGUUUCGGCAAGGUGGAUGAGGACUGGCGAAUUUGCGAAUCACUUACCCCGUCUGCGGCGCCACCGUUAGUCCUAGGAAACACCAUCAGACACAAUGUCGUUGAAUAAAUUGCCAUCGCUCGUAGUCAAAUGACAAUAACUAGAAUAAAGUGCCGGGAGCGCUCAUGAGACAGUCGUGCCAUCGUCUGCUUGAGCACCAACAGGCCGGGGGAGACGAACCUCCGCUUUACUCACCAGUAGACCAAAUUUCAGUGGUACCGGAACAUGUGGGCCGCGAGGCCGGCGGCAAGCUGACACGAUAUGCGCCGACGGAGGAAGACGAGGCGACACUCAGGGAACUUCUUCUUAGCCUUCAGAGACAGGUGAGCGUGAUGAGUAUGAAUCUUUCCGCCAAGCUGGACGAGUUACAGCGUGGCGACCGACAGCUCGAAACCACAGUCGCUCUAUGCGAGAUCCGCACGCAACUCCAAGAACUCACCAAGAGUGUUGAAUCAUGUCAAAGCGAGGUAUCUGAGGUAAAACGAGACAUGGUUGCCAUCAAGCAAGAACUAGAUACUGUGCAGCAGGUGAAGGAAGAAAUCGAGGAGUUGCGAGAGUAUGUGGAUAGACUUGAAGAGCAUACUCAAAGGAGGAAACUGAGACUUCUUGAGCAAGGCUUAACAUUCUUCCUGUCCUAUGCCAUCUUAGCCGCAGUCCUCGGUAUGCUGCAAUUCGGUUACAACACUGGCGUCAUCAACGCUCCUGGCAGAAACAUCGAGAACUUUAUGAAGGACGUUUACAAGGACCGUUACGGCAAGGAUAUCCAGGAUGAUGCCGUCAAUACGUUGUAUUCCAUCGCAGUGAGCAUCUUUGCAAUUGGUGGAAUGCUUGGCGGUUUCUCGGGUGGAAUGAUCGCAAAUCGAUUUGGAAGGAAAGGUGGAUUAUUGCUCAAUAACAUUCUUGGAAUUAGCGGCGCGAGUCUUAUGGGAUUCACAAAGAUAUCGCAUUGCUAUGAAAUGCUCUUCUUCGGUAGAUUCAUCAUUGGAGUCAAUUGCGGGCUAAAUACGUCAUUAGUGCCAAUGUACAUAUCUGAGAUUGCGCCUUUAAACCUUCGCGGUGGACUGGGCACGGUAAAUCAGCUAGCUGUCACUGUAGGUCUGCUUCUAUCUCAAGUUCUUGGCAUCGAACAAAUACUUGGCACCGAUGAGGGCUGGCCUAUACUUCUGGGUUUGGCGGUAUGCCCAGCUAUUUUGCAACUUUUGCUCUUACCUGCUUGUCCUGAAUCUCCUCGCUAUCUGCUUAUCACACGCCAAUGGGAAGAAGAAGCACGACGGGCAUUGAGAAGAUUACGAGCUAGCAACCAAGUGGAGGAAGAUAUAGAAGAGAUGCGUGCUGAAGAAAGAGCUCAACAGGCAGAAGCGUCGAUAUCAAUGAGAGAGCUACUGUGUUCCCCUACUCUUCGCGCCCCUCUACUCAUUGGUGUCGUGAUGCAACUAUCGCAACAGCUCAGCGGAAUUAAUGCGGUGUUCUACUACUCAACGUCUCUGUUCACUUCGUCGGGUCUUACGGAAGAGUCAGCGAAGUUCGCAACAAUGGGUAUCGGCGCUAUUAUGGUAGGAAUGACCCUGGUCUCCUUACCACUCAUGGAUCGCACUGGACGCCGAACCCUUCAUCUUUACGGCCUUGGGGGAAUGUUUAUCUUCUCUAUAUUCAUCACCAUCUCAUUCUUAAUAAAGGAGUUUUUCGGCUAUGUACAGGAAAUGAUAGACUGGAUGAGCUACCUGUCCGUGGUGUCAACGCUAAGCUUCGUAGUGUUCUUCGCUGUGGGGCCUGGUUCGAUUCCUUGGUUAAUCACUGCCGAACUCUUCUCACAAGGACCUAGGCCGAGCGCAAUGGCAAUCGCCGUUUUAGUAAAUUGGAUGGCCAAUUUCGUAGUUGGAAUCGGCUUUCCGAGCAUGAAGGCCCUACUGGAAAACUAUACAUUCCUGCCUUUUAGUGUAUUCCUUGCAAUUUUUUGGAUAUUUACGUAUAAAAAAGUUCCUGAAACAAAAAACAAGACCUUUGAGGAGAUAUUAGCGUUGUUCCGAAAUUCAAACGGCAGCGCGGAAAUCUAUGAAAACAAACUGGACAGUUUUCGCGACAGCCGACUCUAUGGAAGCAUGAUGAAUUGUGUGAACGCUUUGGAGCAACAGCUGCCGCCGCCGCCACCACCUGCCCCCAUCGAUGAAAAACAUGAUUCACUGUCAGAACAGUCGUCAGCUGGCGGGGAAGCGGGACGGCCGCCUCCGCCGCUACCGCCGCCGAGGUUCCCGACGCCGGGCAACGUCUGACAAUGGGAGACCACUGCGCGUGCGCCCCUCGUUGCGCCGAUCAAGGCCGCCGCCAACUUCUUGUUUCAUGGACUCAAGCGCCAAGCGUCGGUGACUGGACGCAAGAUGCACGGAUGGCGCAUUUAUUGGAAGCCAAGCUCCAUCGCUAGUAAACUACAUAGACCCUUAAACUCUUCUAAGCACUAUCCACAGUUUUUACCACAACUACUUAUCUGUUUUCUUUAAUUUUCAUUACGGUGAUUACCCCGUAAUUGUACAAAAGGAACUUGUAAAAUUUUAUUGGAACUAAUACUUGUUAUAAAAACAUU